rnacentral:tRNA from 1 species
UCCCUAGUGUCUCAGAUGGUAAAGAAUCUGCCUGCAAUGCAGGAGACCUGGGUUCAAUCCUUGGAUUGGGAA